rnacentral:rRNA from 1 species
UACGAGGGGGGCAAGCGUUGUUCGGAAUUAUUGGGCGUAAAGGGCGCGUAGGCGGUGCGGUAAGUCACCUGUGAAAACUCUGGGCUCAACUCAGAGCCUGCAGGCGAAACUGCCGUGCUUGAGUGUGGGAGAGGUGCGUGGAAUUCCCGGUGUAGCGGUGAAAUGCGCAGAUAUCAGGAGGAACACCAAUGGCGAAGGCAGCACUCUGGGACGGUACUGACGCUGAGACGCGAAAGCGUGGGGAGCAAACAGG